GAUCCCAGCCUAACCUGGCCCGGCUGGCUGCUGGUGGGAGGCCGGCGACUGAGUAAGCUUUUGCUUCAAAGCAAGGUUCUGCCCCUUCAUGUCACCUCUCCUGAGACAGAAUGAUUUGGUUGAGAUGACAUUCCAUUUUAACUCUUUCCUAUUUGGGAUGAAGAUCCAGUUUCAGACAUGAGACUCGUUGGGUGAUCAUUUCAUUGAGAUCAACCUGAAUGACCAGGUGUAAAGUGCAAGAGUAAUAU
rnacentral:lncRNA from 1 species